UACGAAGGGGACUAGCGUUGUUCGGAAUUACUGGGCGUAAAGCGCCCGCAGGCGGCUUGUUAAGUUCAAGGUGAAAUCUCCCGGCUUAACUGGGAGGGUGCCUCGAAAACUGGCAGGCUUGAGGUGAGGAGAGGGAUGCGGAAUUCCAGGUGUAGCGGUGAAAUGCGUAGAUAUCGGAAGGAACACCGGUGGCGAAAGCGGCGCGCUGGACCUCUUCUGACGCUGAUGCGCGAAAGCCAGGGGAGCAAACGGG
rnacentral:rRNA from 1 species